CGAUGGUCCGCCGCACGAUCAACAAUCCACAUUGCCAUCUAUCAUAAACCCUAAACGAUGGCGGUCCGACGGCGCUCACGGCCUGAUAUCGAGUCUCACUGGAGCGUCACGGGCAGAUCUCGGGUUUGGAAGUACGAUCGAGGCGAGUGCACGCCGCCAUGCCUGACCUCGACAACACGGCGACUAAUCAAAGGGAUGUCGGCCCGAAAUGUGAUUGAAAUUAAAACAGCCGAUGAUGCCCAACGAACACAAAGAAAGACAACAAUAGUAAUUCAGUGAUGGAUAGGACGGCAUCAGCACGAGAGCGCCAUCCAGCGCAGUAACACAAAGGCGAUACACAAGAACAGGAAUUCAGUCAUAAUGAGGAUAGUGCAGCUUAAGAAAAGCAAUGCAAAAAUGGAUUAGCGCCCAACUCGGCACCAAGCACUCUAGCAAACAAGCACAAGCCGGAUGUUGCAGCGGCCGCCACUCACCACCCACCGGUAACAUUCAUGAUGCUCACCAGUUCGUGGGAAAAAAAAUGACGGGAAAAAGUGGACAGCGCGGAUAAAGAAUGUCCACCAGUGGUUUUCAUUCAAAGCGAAAGUAUCUUGAACUCGGUGAAAAAAAAAAAACCUUCGCCAACACAUGUGAUAGUAUUGGGGAAGACUUCAUCAAGCUCCACGAGUACUUACCUGUAUUGGAAGGCACCUAUCAUGAGAAAACCCAGAACCCUACAGCAUCAUAGAACAUUAUACUUGUAACUCCAUCGUGCAGUGCCAAACUAAUGUAAUACACCUACACACACCUACACCACAGACUCACUCCUCU